CCUACGGGGGGCAGCAGUGGGGAAUAUUGCGCAAUGGGCGAAAGCCUGACGCAGCGACGCCGCGUGAGGGAUGAAGGUCUUCGGAUCGUAAACCUCUGUCAGCAGGGAAGAACGGUCACUGUGCUAAUCAGCAGUGAAUUGACGGUACCUGCAAAGGAAGCACCGGCUAACUCCGUGCCAGCAGCCGCGGUAAUACGGAGGGUGCGAGCGUUAGUCGGAAUUACUGGGCGGAAAGCGCUCGUAGGCGGUAUGUCAAGUCAAGGGGGAAAUCCCCGCGCUCAACGUGGGAACUGCCUUUGAAACUGGCAAACUGGAGUGUGUGAGAGGAUAGUGGAAGUCCAGGUGUAGGAGUGAAAUCCGUAGAUAUCUGGAGGAACAUCAGUGGCGAAGGCGACUAUCUGGCACAUAACUGACGCUGAGGAGCGAAAGCGUGGGUAGCAAACAGGAUUAGAUACCCCGGUAGUC
rnacentral:rRNA from 1 species